rnacentral:tRNA from 1 species
AGGGGUUUGGUGUAGUGGCAACAUGCUUCUCUCCAAAAGAAGCGACGUGGGUCCGAUUCCCACAGCCCCUG